rnacentral:rRNA from 1 species
GUCAGAGGUGCCAAGCGUUAGGCGGAAUCACUGGGCUUAAAGCGUGUGUAGGCGGAUCGUUAAGUACCUUGUGAAAUCCCACGGCCCAACCGUGGAACUGCUCGGUAUACUGGCGAUCUUGAGCUGUCUAGGGGCUACCGGAACAAAUGGUGGAGCGGUGAAAUGCGUAGAUAUCAUUUGGAACGCCAAUGGUGAAAACAGGUAGCUGGGGACAUGCUGACGCUGAGACACGAAAGCCAGGGGAGCAAACGGG